CCUCAUCUAUGCCAGAGCCUGGGAGAGGCAGCUGACUCUCCUGUCAGCUAUGGGCAGACUUCAUUUCAUCCCACAGCUUCAUUUCCUCUUCCUCCCCCUUUUUGUUUUCCUAUGGCAAAAAUGUGCUGGUCACAGGCCCAGAUCUUUGCCUUCAGGACAGGAAGAGUUCAGCUGCUGGUAGCUGCAACAGCACAUGUCAGAGUUUCCUGACUGUGAAGCCUGCAUAUCCAUUUAAACAGAAACUGCUGGGCCAGAGUCAGAAGAGGCUGCACGGCUACAACAUCUAACUUGUAUCAAGCAAUCUAAACUUGUGUGAAGCAUCUGCGCUCCUUCUUCUGGAAUCACAGGUAGUGAGCCAUGCAUCAUAUUCUAUGUCACAAGCUCCAAACAAGCCUGGACACUCAAACAUAAAUAUAGACUUUCCCUCUGCCCAGAGAGAGAAGUCAAGGAUAAAGGAAACAAAAGGAAGAGAGUUACAGUCUUUGCUAUUCCGUGUCCUUCACAUCAGGAAGAAAGGAAAGAAAAUAAAUAACAAAAUUUGAUGAUAAGAAAAUUUUUUUUACUCCUGCCACAUGGAUCUGCACAGCUCUGGUUGUUGACCCUUACAUGAACUGGAACUGUACCCACCUAGCUACUACUCUUUUGUCUUUCCUUUAUAAGAGUGAAAUUGUCUCAACAAGACUUUGAGGAAACACUUCACACAUGUCCCCGAGAUGAAAGACAGAAAAAAAUUCGCCAGAAAUAUUCCAGGUUCAUACAUAACCUUGGGAAGUGGAUCUUUGGUUGUCUUUUGGUUGGCAGAGAUGUGAAACUGGAGAAAUCACUUUGUUUCUGUUGUCACCUAUCAAGGAGUAAUUUGGUCAGCAGUUGCAGUUAUGCAUGCAACUCCUGAGCAAGGCUGAGAGCACUUCCAAGCAUAAUGACAGCUCCAUCAGCUGCUGCCCUUCUUCCUGGAAGAGUGUGAAACUGUUCAAAGGCUCUACCUUCUGCCAGUCCUCAAAAUAUACAAAGUUCACAAGUUGUUUCCUUCAGCUUGAGGAGGGCUGCCAUAUGUCAGAAUAAAUAUUGGUUUUGUCAGCCAGCAAAAUUCAAGUUGCAUGAUUCAGUGCAUGAGCAGGGUGAAAACAGUCAUAUUUGCAGGCAUGUGUUGAAAAGAAGUCAUUAUCAAAUCCUCUUCCCAUUUAAAAAAUCAAAAUAAAACAAAAAUGCAAACAAAAAAAAAACCCAGAGAAAAUGACGAUUUACUUAAAGAAUUAUAGUCUUACACUUUGCAAAUAUAAAAAUGACAUCUUUGACUUGUCAUUAUUUCCAGUGCUAAGACGUAUGUGUCAAAUGUUAAUGAGGUGAAAUAAACUUUCUUGUAUCAA